GCAUUCGUGGCUUAGUCGGGAAAACACCCGACUAUGGUAUGGUAGGAUUCGGGUUCGAGCCUCGGCGAAGGCA